rnacentral:rRNA from 1 species
GACGAACGCUGGCGGCGUGCCUAAUACAUGCAAGUAGAACGCUGAAGAGAGGAGCUUGCUCUUCUUGGAUGAGUUGCGAACGGGUGAGUAACGCGUAGGUAACCUGCCUUGUAGCGGGGGAUAACUAUUGGAAACGAUAGCUAAUACCGCAUAACAAUGGAUGACUCAUGUCAUUUAUUUGAAAGGGGCAAAUGCUCCACUACAAGAUGGACCUGCGUUGUAUUAGCUAGUAGGUGAGGUAACGGCUCACCUAGGCGACGAUACAUAGCCGACCUGAGAGGGUGAUCGGCCACACUGGGACUGAGACACGGCCCAGACUCCUACGGGAGGCAGCAGUAGGGAAUCUUCGGCAAUGGGGGCAACCCUGACCGAGCAACGCCGCGUGAGUGAAGAAGGUUUUCGGAUCGUAAAGCUCUGUUGUAAGUCAAGAACGAGUGUGAGAGUGGAAAGUUCACACUGUGACGGUAGCUUACCAGAAAGGGACGGCUAACUACGUGCCAGCAGCCGCGGUAAUACGUAGGUCCCGAGCGUUGUCCGGAUUUAUUGGGCGUAAAGCGAGCGCAGGCGGUUUGAUAAGUCUGAAGUUAAAGGCUGUGGCUCAACCAUAGUUCGCUUUGGAAACUGUCAAACUUGAGUGCAGAAGGGGAGAGUGGAAUUCCAUGUGUAGCGGUGAAAUGCGUAGAUAUACGGAGGAACACCGGUGGCGAAAGCGGCUCUCUGGUCUGUAACUGACGCUGAGGCUCGAAAGCGUGGGGAGCGAACAGG